rnacentral:rRNA from 1 species
UACGAAGGGUGCAAGCGUUAAUCGGAAUUACUGGGCGUAAAGCGCACGCAGGCGGUCUGUCAAGUCGGAUGUGAAAUCCCCGGGCUCAACCUGGGAACUGCAUUCGAAACUGGGGAACUUGAGUGCAGAAGAGGAGAGUGGAAUUCCACGUGUAGCGGUGAAAUGCGUAGAGAUGUGGAGGAACACCAGUGGCGAAGGCGGCCCCCUGGACGAAGACUGACGCUCAGGUGCGAAAGCGUGGGGAGCAA